rnacentral:tRNA from 1 species
AAGAUCUAAGCCCUUAUAAUAGAGGUUCAAAUCCUCUCGUUAACCAAAUCCUCUCGUUAAC